rnacentral:piRNA from 1 species
GCAGUCAUUUCUCUUACCCACUGAG